CCUGGCAAUGAUGAUGCACCUGCCCUCACUGAGAACAGUGUUCAUGAAUUAGAAUUUCAAUUUUGUACUCGGAAAGAUAUGAGACAGA